GAGUGAACGCUGGCGGUAGGCCUAACACAUGCAAGUCGAACGCCAGCACAGUAAGAGCUUGCUCUUACGGGUGGCGAGUGGCGGACGGGUGAGGAAUACAUCGGAAUCUACUUUUUCGUGGGGGAUAACGUAGGGAAACUUACGCUAAUACCGCAUACGACCUACGGGUGAAAGCAGGGGAUCUUCGGACCUUGCGCGAUUGAAUGAGCCGAUGUCGGAUUAGCUAGUUGGCGGGGUAAAGGCCCACCAAGGCGACGAUCCGUAGCUGGUCUGAGAGGAUGAUCAGCCACACUGGAACUGAGACACGGUCCAGACUCCUACGGGAGGCAGCAGUGGGGAAUAUUGGACAAUGGGCGCAAGCCUGAUCCAGCCAUACCGCGUGGGUGAAGAAGGCCUUCGGGUUGUAAAGCCCUUUUGUUGGGAAAGAAAAGCAGCAGGUUAAUACCCCGCUGUUCUGACGGUACCCAAAGAAUAAGCACCGGCUAACUUCGUG
rnacentral:rRNA from 1 species